rnacentral:sRNA from 1 species
GCUGGGUGUGGUGGUGCACGCCUGUAAUCCCAGCAGCUGGGGAGACUGAGGCAGGAGGAUUGAGAGUUCAAAGCCAGCCUCAGCAAAAGCAAGGUCCUACGCAACUCAGUGAGAUCCUGUCUCUU